GUGGUACAUGUCUAACAACCGCUAUGUAUCAAUGCCCUUGUUCAUGAUACCGCGCAAGUGUAAUGGAUAGGUGCUGCCUGUUUACUCUGGUAUUUGAUCUCGGUCUGUUUGGCUACGCCUGUGGAGCUGGGAACAAAUAUGGAACGAUAUCUGUGGUAGGUCCCGCUUUUGUGAACAGGGAGGUUACACUGAAAAUGACCCCUUCCUUUCCUUGGGGAUGUGAUGUAGAAUGGAGAUGCAUGAGGGAUGGCAGCACAACAUUCCAAACAAUGACUGGGACAAAAGUUGAAAGAUAUUCGGAAGAUGGGUCAUUCUUUUUUAAAUGGAUAGCUUCAAUUGAAUAUGAGAACGCUGACUUCUACGCAGUAUGUUCAACAAACACGUCGAUAGGAACAAGCAUGGUAUCUUUAAAUAUGAAAGAUAUUGUUGGACAAUGUGGAGCUCUCGUGCUGUUAAGCCCAGUUGUACGCGGCGCGAACGUCGAACUGGGAUAUUUUCCAGCUGAUCAUUAUAUACAGCGCCAAAAUAACAAUACACGAACAUGGAAGAAAAACUUCAAAGUGAUACAGCUACGAAACGGUUCUUACGAAGAAGACAAACUUUCUGAAUACUUUUACAAAUUGACGGUAUUCAACUUUGAUGAAACAGACAAGGGAACAUACACUUUAGAGUGCAAUCUAGGAGGACCCACGGAAUCAGUACAUGUUUAUAUACAGGAGCGACCGAGCAACCCAAUACUCGGUCCAAUGCCCCCUGACUUUAACACAACAGAAUGCAUUUAUGUUUAUGCUGGCUCUGACAUGUAUUGCAAAACUGACAAUGGAACCGAACCCGUACACGUCGCACUUUUACUUGGCAAUGAUACAUUUGUGCUUGAUAAAAACAAAGGGAACGAAGGGUUGUACCGGUUCCAAAACGUUUAUCAACAUAUGGCUGGACGGCCGAGACGAAAUGUGACGUGUCAAGUUUCAAAUGCAGCCCUUGAAACACCUAAUGAAGUGCGCGGCAUUCUAUGUAACGUAGAGAAAGGAAGCCCGCCCGAGCUAACAGUUCCCGAAUUCCUUGAUGGCGAAAGCUCGACAGCAGUAUGUGAAGUGCGCAAUGCUAUCCCAGCUCCGGCAAUAGCAAUUCACGUUGGCACAGUCUUGCUAUCUGAAGUUCAACAAACUGAUUCAUUCAAUGCAUCUUCUAAUACUUUUACAAGUCAAGCAAGGGCGGCAAAGACUAACAAAUCGUGGAAUGCAAAUGAAAUGUGUUGCACAAGGCAGAGCAAAGAUAACUAUGGUUUAAAAGCUGUGUCAAUAUGCCAAAAUAUCAAUAUGAAAUUUCCGCCGUCGGACCUUUUCAUAUCCGUAAACAAAAUACAUGAGUAUCGCAACAAAUUUUCUGAAUUUUUCUUGAACAUGUCUUGUGAAACUAAUGAAUCAAAUCCGCCUUGUACGAUUAAAUGGUCAAGCGACAACGAUAACAUAACAUUCGUUCAAAGCAACAGCUGGACUUAUGGUGACAAUGGGAGUUACCGUUCUGUAUCCAAUGUGCUCUAUAAUGUCACUGAAGACAUGGCUGGGGGAACAAUUACAUGUGCAACAAAAUGUGACCAUUUCCCAUCCCAUUUAGAUAAAGACUACAAAAUAUAUAUUUCAGAUUGUCCGACUCUUAAUUUGAACACGACAUCUCCUGUUAAUUUAUGUCCGAAUAAUACAAUGAGCGUCAAAUGUCUUGUGGAUGGCUGCAAUGCUAAAUCGCAAUGGGCGCUUUGCUGGGAAGAUGAAAAUAGAACUGUAAUAAAGACUUGUAAUAGAACAGGGGAAUGCCUGUUAACUCUGAAUUAUACGGGAGAAGAUAUAAUAAAUAACAUUACACAAUUUAAGAUACUGAUUUAUAGAAAGGACAAGGGCCAGCAAGGGAAUAAACAUAUAUAUUGUGCGAAGAUCAAUUAGUACGGCAUACACAUUUAUUCAUUUUCAAAUUGUACAACUAACACAAUAAAAAUAUCUUUAUAGCAGACACUACAUAGAUAAUUAGAAUAAAACUAUCUGGAACAAAUGUUGAUUAAAUGUUUGAAAUUAACAAAACUCUUUUUUAGGAUGUAUAUUAAAUAAACGGCGAAAGUCAGCGCAAUCAUCACAAAUGAAAUGUAUGUAUCAAUUAUAAUUUUUGUUAAGUGAUGGAGAAAUUCAGAUAUGUGUUGUACAGUUAGAUAUGCUUAAAUUAUCGAUAUAUAAUGAACUUUAUUAUUUCCUGUAAAACAGACAUUCUUCUAACGAUAUUUCCGUUUAUAUAACUCAUACCUGGAUAAGUACCAAUGACAACUAAUGAUAUAACUUGCGUAUUUUUCAGUGUUCAAAAUCACAGCGGUAUGUAUAUAUUUAAGACGUUACUAAUGCGUACAUGCGUGGUCCUUUCCAUGGCCUUUGAAAUCCCAGCAUGUAUUCAUGUGGAUAUUUAUGUUGCUUUCUUUUGGUUCAGUUGAAUAAGUGUUAUUCACUAUAUCUAAUUAUCCUGUGUAUAACUUUGUUAUCCUUUUUGGGAAAAAAUAAACAUCAUAAUCAUGAAACUUUCAAAUUAAAAAUAUAAACAUUUCCAAAUUAAAAUUCAAUUAACAUUUAUUUAUCUAAAUAUGUAAUUGUCAAUUGUAUUUGAUUUGAUACAAUGAACAUUGUUGCUUAUGUAUCCCUAAACUAAUUGAAUAAAUAAAGUGAAAAUAUCUAUGGAGAUCAUCCUUGAAAAUUCUUGGUUUGUAAUAUUUUAUAGCUAUAAUUAUUGAUAAAAUAGUUAUCAAAAGCCUCUUACAAUUUGAAAUACAGUCAUUGGGAAUCAUAUCUACUUUUAUACUAUUGGUUUUUGUUCUCUAUAUAUUAGUAUUAAAACUAUAUCCCUGCAAAUGGACCUUUAUAAAUUAUGAUACCUUAAGAAACAGACACCUCGGCGGACGAUGACGUGGUACACAUAACAACGCAAGGUGUCCAGUAUGCAGUUGUUCAGAGGCAGCCUGUCACACAGAGGAUUGAAACACAGCAACCACGUAAUGACGACAGCCUAACGUACGACGAGUUGGAC